GACGUAGGAUGCAAGCGUUGUCCGGAUUUAUUGGGCGUAAAGAGUUCGUAGGUGGUUCGUUAAGUCUGAUGUUAAAGACUGGGGCUCAACCCUGGAAGUGCAUUGGAUACUGGCGGACUUGAGUGUGGUAGAGGCAAUCGGAAUUCCAGGUGUAGCGGUGAAAUGCGUAGAUAUCUGGAGGAACACCGGUGGCGAAGGCGGGUCUCUGGGCCGAUACUGACGCUGAGGAGCGAAAGCGUGGGGAGCAAACAGG
rnacentral:rRNA from 1 species